rnacentral:lncRNA from 1 species
CACCUGUGAUGGCCUAAAAUAAAACCAGAAGUGAGGCAGAGCCAGCUGUAUGAGUUAAAAUGAAGUCUAGCCACAUGAGUGAAACUAAGAAUUUGCACCAUGACCUUUAGUGCUAGAAGUAGAUCCUCCAUAAUAAAAGGAAUUAAAUCUUCAGACUGCAAUGAUGACCCUAAAUUAGGUUAUAGAUUUUGUUAAGUGAUUUCGCAGAACAGCUCUGCAGAGAAAUGAUUGAGAAGUUAAUCUGUUCCGCUGAGAUGAGAAGUGUAUCUUUGUCCUUGGAGAGUUGCAGUCUGCCCAGGCUAUGACCUUCUUGGAGCCAUACCAUUUUUCAGAUAGUACCUGUGUACCUUUCUCAUGGAUGAGAAACAGCAAGUUAUCUUCUAGAAACAGAAGAAAUAAAAGGGAAGGUGUUUUCAUCUGCCAACACCAGUUUACCCAGAAGUAG